rnacentral:rRNA from 1 species
ACGAACGCUGGCGGUGUGCUUCACACAUGCAAGUCGAACGAGGUAGCAAUACCUAGUGGCGGACGGGUGAGUAACGCGUGGGAAUCUGCCUUUAGAUGGGGGAUAACGGGUCGAAAGACUCGCUAAUACCGCAUAUGACGAAAGUUGAAAGGAGUAAUCCGUCUAAAGAUGAGCCCGCGUCCGAUUAGCUAGUUGGUAGAGUAAAAGCCUACCAAGGCGACGAUCGGUAGCUGGUCUGAGAGGAUGAUCAGCCACAAUGGGACUGAGACACGGCCCAUACUCCUACGGGAGGCAGCAGUGGGGAAUUUUACGCAAUGGGCGAAAGCCUGACGUAGCGACACCGCGUGAGCGAAGAAGCCCCUUGGGGUGUAAAGCUCUGUCAGCUGGAACGAAAAAAUGACGGUACCAGCAGAGGAAGCAUCGGCUAACUACGUG